AUCCUUACAAAUAUUUUUAGAACGUGAUGAUGUGGAGGUGUGGCUUGUUUGAAUCGAAUCGUUUUUUAGGCUCAUGUUGUCAUCAGCGGCAGCUGACUCUUGUGGCGGAUAUUUGUGUCCGUUGUGAGGUUUAUGGUACUGUAUGGUUCAGCUGAAUUGGAUUUAAUCUUUGGAUGGAAACCAAAGUUUAAUACAAAAAUUGUGGUUAUUGUUCCCAGAAAGUUUUCGUAAUGUUUCUUAUGUAGUGUUUACUCAGACUUGCAAUACAUUUAAAGCAUUUUAUAAUUUUGGACGAACUGCAGCAUGGUUGUUUUUUAGCACAUCUAUACUUCUUUUCAUUCCUGUUAUACUUGAAGUGGAAAGAGCUGAAAUUGAAAAUGAACAACGAAGACAUCAGAAU